rnacentral:lncRNA from 1 species
GUCUUCUCCUAGGACAUGAGGCCCUCAGGGUCACUGACCUUUGUCUCUUUGUUUAUGUUUUCAGCAGUCAACCAAGAGUCUACCUCUGUUAGGGACUGUGUGGGGUGUAGCAGAAAGGAUGCAGACUACUGGCUCUCAGAGGAUUGCUACCUGGUGAGAGUGGACACACAAGAGAGCCUGAGAGCUUUAACUGAGAGUUGAAGUUAUUCUGGAGGAGGAAGAAGGUGGUGUGACCAACCCAUGAGGGUUUGCAUCGGGGGACAAAUGUUGAGUGCAGCAUUUGAAUGGCACGCCGUCUUCUCCAGACAGUGGUCAUGAAUUAAAAUGGAUAUCCAACUGUUCCAUGAGGCAACGAAUGGGGAUUUUACAUAUUAAAUCAGCAUUGUCUGCUGGAGCUCUCUGCUACCUGGGAAGGCUCUGCAUUUGGGCUGUCAAAGCCACAAGCUCAGACAAUGAAGAUGGCAAACUGAAGGGCAAAAAACUUCAUCUUUCAUGAGUGCAAUUUCAAACUUGGUGCCAACGAGAGACAUCUUCCCUGGACUCAAAUGCGCGAAGCCUGAACAGGACAUCUUGAGUGUUAGCUUCUCUGGGAUGGCUGCGGUGUGCAGCACAUUUUUGUUAAGGUGUUAUUCAAAGUUUCUGAUUAACAUAAGUUUUUCUUAAAAUUAUACAAAAACAUAAUACCAUGAUUAUGGAAAUAAAAAGCCACCCACAAGCUUACUAUCUUUACAAACCAUCUAUUUUCAUUCUUUCCUGUCUUUUCCAAAAAAGUAUUACCUCCUCCCGCCCCUCAGUGUUGGACACACAGCACAAAUAUGCCUUUGUGUUCUGAUCUUUUUUGUGUGCCUCACACAAUGAGUAAUAUCAGUGUGCUCUUAAGAAUAACAGAUUCAAAUAACUUCCAAGCA